rnacentral:lncRNA from 1 species
AUAAGGAUAUCUAAGGCUUUUAAGAUCAAAAAGAGCUCAAAAUAGUAACAAAUUCUCUGUAUACUUUCUACACUUCACUCCAAUCCUUGUAAUAGAAUUAAGCACUUCACUUUGUACCUUUCAGAUCAGGUUAGUGAUAAUAGGUACUUCUUAAUUUCUACUCUUAUUGACUACUUAAGGUGUACGACACACUCUAAGGGGACUUAUUAAGCUUGGGUUAGCUUGAUUGAGUGUAUAGGUUCUAACUUAACUUAGGAAAAGUUAGUUUUUGGUUUUGGUUGAUCCCGAGAAAAACCAUUGUUAAAGGUUGUGGCUGAGCUUGUGAAAAGCCAUUGUAAAAGCUUGGUGAGAG